GGACAGUGGUGUUACAGGCAUCGGCAGAUACAUGGUAGUGGUGUGUGGUCCCUUCAGUCGUUUCCUGUUGGGGCUGAAGUAACUGGAAUUUUCUAUUUAUUGGUUCCUAUCGGAGCAGCAUUGGCAUUUACGGGCUCUCCCUGUCAGACAGACAGGGAGGGUGCCAAGUGCUCCUGGCACAUCUUACUGGGUCCUUGCAACUUUUAUUGUUGUUGAGACAGGGUUUUUGUGAUGUAGCCCAGGCUGACCUUGGAUUCCUAAUUUUCCAGCCCCAAUCUUUCUGGUGCUGAGAUUAUAAUCUUACCAGUGAUGCACCUGGCUUAGGUGGGUCAUUUAAAAAAAUUAUUAAAAGAAAUUUUUUUUGAG
rnacentral:lncRNA from 1 species